UGCAGUUUGCGCAAGCUCAAAAGCGGAGCGCCGCGUAAGCUCCGAUAUUGCUGAAAACAUCUUGCAAGAGAUUGAGCCGCGGUACCAUGUUGGAAAUGCACGAGUUGUCCCAGCUGUAUGAAGAAAGCAAUGACCUGCAGAUGGGUGUGAUACAUGGCGAGAGUGACCUUCCGCAGAUGGAGGUAGGCCGUGCGAGCCGGGAACCGUCCCCGAACCCCUCCCGCAACCGGGCCCAGCUGCAGCUCAAGGAAGACGGCCCAAUGGAGGAGGAGGGAGCUGAACCAGUGGCGGGGCCGGAGGGUGACCGUGGUCUUGCUAAGCGGCCCAGCCCCGGGGAGCAGCCAGGCCAGGCCGAGGGCCUUGACUUGGAGAUCGAGGGUGAGCAAUUUGAUGACUGGGAGGAUGACUACGACUAUCCAGAAGAAGAGCGGCUGAGUGGUUCAGGCUACAGAGUACCAGAGGCCCUCGAAGAAGUCAAGAUGUUCCUGAGAACGUCCAGAGCAAGAGAAGCAGCCCUGGAUGGUGGUUUUCAGAGGCACUAUGAGAAGACCCCAUUUGAUCAGUUGGCUUUUAUCGAAGAGCUUUUUUCACUUAUGGUAGUUAAUCGUCUGACAGAAGAACUGGGUUGUGAUGAGAUUAUUGAUAGAGAGUAGUUAAAUGUAGUUACAGAGGAGGAAACUACUUGAGGACAGACCCAACAUUACACUCGCGUUUAUUCCAGAUAGUUUUGUGCCAAUGAAAACCUUGAUCUUCAAAAAAAAUGUUUUGUUUUGCAGAAUAGAAUAGGCAGUGAUUACACAAUUGUGGAAAAGUAAAAACUUAAAGAAAAAGGAUUUUAGGACUGUUGAAACUUGUUUUCAAAAAUAUCGUGAAACGCCUGUGGCUUUGACUUUCUUAUCGAUCCAGAUUAUUUUCUGUGCAUUAGGGAAAAUUACUUCCAUAUUUCAUUGUAAGGGAUGGUUUUGCAAGAAUAAGUUAAGACCAAGACAAACUGCCAGUACAAGAGCUAAUUACUGAUACUAAUUACAAGAGAAAAAGUAGUAUGUCCAACUUUGGACACCAGAUGUCUCUGAGUCAUUUGGACAGAAAGGCUAUUGAGAAAACUUUGAAGAUUCCACUUUGUGAUCUCUCCAAGCUGUAGUUAUCAAAGGGAAAAGGCUGGUUGAACUUUAUAACGCAAGAAAUGUUAAGUGGAAAUUGUCAUGUAAAAGGAAGGCCUGCAUUUAAAAAAGACUUUAUGAACAAUUAUGCUACUAACCUUUAAAGAUUUUAAACCUGUCCAGAAAUUCCUGAAGUUUCCCUCUGUCUCCUCUUCUAAUUAAGCUUCUUAUUGGUUAUGCACCAGCAUUUGAGACAAUAAAAAUUUCCUGUUCUGUGUAUUUUGUUUGGCUAAUAGUA